UGCAAGUCGAACGGAAUCCAUGGUGUAGCAAUACACCGGAAGAUUUAGUGGCGAACGGGUGAGGAUCACGUGAGAAACGUGCCCCAGACUCUGGGAUAACAAUUGGAAACGAUUGCUAAUACCGGAUGACGUCGGAGAAUCGCAUGAUUCACUGACGAAAGAUAUUUCGGUUUGGGAGCGUCUCGCGGCCUAUCAGCUUGUUGGUGGGGUAAUGGCCUACCAAGGCAACGACGGGUAGCUGGUCUGAGAGGAUGAUCAGCCACACUGGGACUGAGACACGGCCCAGACUCCUACGGGAGGCAGCAGUGGGGAAUCUUGCGCAAUGGGCGAAAGCCUGACGCAGCAACGCCGCGUGCGGGAUGAAGGCCUUCGGGCUGUAAACCGCUUUCAGCAGGAACGAAAAUGACGGUACCUGCAGAAGAAGGAGCGGCCAACUACGUGCCAGCAGCCGCGGUGACACGUAGGCUCCAAGCGUUGUCCGGAUUUAUUGGGCGUAAAGAGCUUGUAGGCGGUUGAGUAAGUCGGGUGUGAAAACUCUGGGCUUAACCCGGAGACGCCAUCCGAUACUGCUCUGACUAGAGUUCAGGAGGGGAGUGGGGAAUUCCUAGUGUAGCGGUGAAAUGCGCAGAUAUUAGGAGGAACACCGGUGGCGAAGGCGCCACUCUGGACUGAAACUGACGCUGAGGAGCGAAAGCAUGGG
rnacentral:rRNA from 1 species